rnacentral:rRNA from 14 species
AUGAAGAGUUUGAUCCUGGCUCAGGAUGAACGCUAGCGGGAGGCUUAAUACAUGCAAGUCGAGGGGUAGAUAUCUUUCGGGAUAUUGAGACCGGCGAACGGGUGCGUAACGCGUAUGCAACUUGCCUUACACUGGGGGAUAGCCCGGAGAAAUCCGGAUUAAUACCCCAUAAUAUUAUCGAAUCGCCUGUUUUGAUAAUUAAAGAUUUAUUGGUGUAAGAUGGGCAUGCGUCUGAUUAGCUAGUUGGUAAGGUAACGGCUUACCAAGGCAACGAUCAGUAGCGGGUCUGAGAGGAUGAUCCGCCACACUGGUACUGAGACACGGACCAGACUCCUACGGGAGGCAGCAGUAGGGAAUAUUGGACAAUGGGCGAGAGCCUGAUCCAGCCAUCCCGCGUGCAGGAAGACUGCCCUCUGGGUUGUAAACUGCUUUUAUACAGGAAGAAAAAGAGUCAUGCGUGACUUACUGACGGUACUGUAUGAAUAAGCACCGGCUAACUCCGUGCCAGCAGCCGCG